CCUCCUCUACGGUGUAAGGAUAUUUCAAGGGGACAAGGCAUAUAUAAUUUUAUUAAAAAAACGAGACAUAAAUCCUUGAAGUUGGGCUUAUUCUUGUUCAAAUAAUAAAUCUCUAUAUCAUCACAAUACUAAAAACCAAAUAUAUUUUAGUCAGUUUUAAACAUUUGGUGUUAAACGAGCGUAUUGUCACCUGACCAUGUAACUUAAUAUGGACCCCCCCCCCUCCUCUACGGUGUAAGGAUAUUUCAAGGGGACAAGGCAUAUAUAAUUUUAUUAAAAAAAUGAGACAUAAAUCCUUGAAGUUGUGCUUAUUCUUGUUCAAAUAAUAAAUCUCUAUAUCAUCACAAUACUAAAAACCAAAUAUAUUUUAGUCAGUUUUAAACAUUUGGUGUUAAACGAGCGUAUUGUCACCUGACCAUGUAACUUAAUAUGGACCCCCCCCCUCCUCUACGGUGUAAGGAUAUUUCAAGGGGACAAGACAUAUAUAAUUUUAUUAAAAAAACGAGACAUAAAUCCUUGAAGUUGGGCUUAUUCUUGUUCAAAUAAUAAAUCUCUAUAUCAUCACAAUACUAAAAACCAAAUAUAUUUUAGUCAGUUUUAAACAUUUGGUGUUAAACGAGCGUAUUGUCACCUGACCAUGUAACUUAAUAUGGACCCCCCCCCCUCCUCUACGGUGUAAGGAUAUUUCAAGGGGACAACGCAUAUAUAAUUUUAUUAAAAAAAUGAGACAUAAAUCCUUGAAGUUGGGCUUAUUCUUGUUCAAAUAAUAAAUCUCUAUAUCAUCACAAUACUAAAAACCAAAUAUAUUUUAGUCAGUUUUAAACAUUUGGUGUUAAACGAGCGUAUUGUCACCUGACCAUGUAACUUAAUAUGGACCCCCCCCCCUCCUCUACGGUGUAAGGAUAUUUCAAGGGGACAAGACAUAUAUAAUUUUAUUAAAAAAACGAGACAUAAAUCCUUGAAGUUGGGCUUAUUCUUGUUCAAAUAAUAAAUCUCUAUAUCAUCACAAUACUAAAAACCAAAUAUAUUUUAGUCAGUUUUAAACAUUUGGUGUUAAACGAGCGUAUUGUCACCUGACCAUGUAACUUAAUAUGGACCCCCCCCCUCCUCUACGGUGUAAGGAUAUUUCAAGGGGACAAGGCAUAUAUAAUUUUAUUAAAAAAACGAGACAUAAAUCCUUGAAGUUGGGCUUAUUCUUGUUCAAAUAAUAAAUCUCUAUAUCAUCACAAUACUAAAAACCAAAUAUGCUGAAUUAUUAAGCUAUCCACAUCAUCAAAAAUAAUCAUCCAAUCAGCACAUUUCGUUUUUACACAUCAGACACAAUUAUGUAUGGGGUUCAAGUUUUUCUUUUAUUUAUAGUGGGCUUCAUUUUUUUUUUCCACAAAAUCUAAAAAAACCAAAAUCAAUCCGACAACGCUGCUUAACCAAUAUUGAAACGUCUCUCCCAGUUUCCAAGUGACUAAGUUACUUAUCGAUUCAAUUUCUCUCAGUAUGUGCUUUUAAAAGUUCAUCUUCCCCACCACCUCCUCAAUCAAUAAAGCUCUUCCUCUCAAUAUUGCAUUCCGAUCUCUGUAGGUAAUAUUGCAAAGUGAACAUGCCGUAGUAAAGCGGCUGCAAAGGUUCGUUUUCAUGUAAUCAUGGCCUUUCAGUUAUUCAAUUUUUUUCCUGAUCAGUAGUUUCUAGGGAUUAAACUUUUAACUUAUUUUUCGAUAAAGUAUUAAACUUUUAACUCCUCUGUACAAAAGUUCUUCAUCUGGAAACUGUGAAAUCUGUUACAGGUUAGAUGGGUAGAAUCCUUUGAUUGUUAUUGUGAUGUCGAAAGUAUUUGACAUUGGUUACGUGAACAUACUAAACCUGUUGCGCUUAUUCCCCUUUUUAAUUUGAUUAUGAUGGAUUUUUCUUGGUUUUCCAUUAUUUUUUCUAGCUCAAUUUUAUGUGUAAAUACAUACGCUGUCUUUUUAUGAUCUAAAGUGAAGAUUCCCGUGAGACUUUCAAGAAAAAGCUUCCCAAGAACAAAUAUGUUGCUGCUGUGAGUGUCUCCUUCUCACCUUCAAAGUUAUUUUAUACCUUAGGUUCAUCUUCAAAGGCAUACUAACUUUAAAUUUGUAUGGAUAAACAAGUUUGAAAAGCUUCUGGAGACAAGUAGAAAUUCCUACAGAUGUUGUAUGUACUUUAUCUCAGUUUUAAUGUUCUAAACUAAAUACAAUACUUGAAUUUCACAAUAAUUCUGGAAAAAGAACCUCAUGUUGCUAAGGCUAAAAAGCGCAAGGGUUGACUACGAGAAGAACCUGAAACCUUGCAACAAAAAAUUGAGGAAGAUGAGAAAUUCGACAAGUCAGUGUCAGAAGUUAAUGGUGGAGAUUACAAUGAGGAAGGAAGAGAGGGUUUGACAUGCUCCUCCUUAAUGCAAAGGUUUGUCUCCUAUAUUCCCUCUCAAUGAUAUCUUUUGGCGUCGAGUCUAAGGUGAUAGUAGCCACCAGCAUUAAUCCAAAAUUCGUCGGAGGUCGUCUCUUACUGAAUACAACCUCUGGCACUCAUUUCUAUUUCGACAAAGACAAACGCAAGUGAGACCUUCAUCCGAUUUGGGUGUUGGUGACGUGAUCUGCUCCACAAGUUCCACCAAAUAUGAAGGUGUGAAGAAAAUUGAAGUUGUGACGGUCUUUGAGCUUAACGCAUACGUGGUUAACUCGACCCCACAUGUUAAAUCCCUAACUGUUUCUUCUAGCAUAUGUCUCAUUACUA